GGAAAUUAAUAUAGUAGUAAAACUUAUUGGGCUUUAUUUUAAAGAUAUAGUUAGACCAUUAUUAUGGGCUGAGCAAACGUACUGGGCCGACUUAUAAUAAUAGCCAAGCUAUAGAUUAGACUUUGAGAUUUACUAAUUGAACAAGAGAAAUUACGGGGAAUUUUCUGAUCGAUAAUAUGAAAUGGCGGACGAAAGGAAAGCGGAGAUACCUGCGAAAUGGGAUGCCUUCCUCGAUUUAGGCUUCCGUCGUUUCGUUUAUUCCUCGCUCGCCGGCGCCGUCUCCGGCCUCCUUUUUUUCCAGGAGAGGCAUUCUGCUGAGGGAUUUAUGGAGCCGUACCCAAUUCCGGCUGCGGAAUUGCAGUAGGUCUCGACGUGCCGUCGCUCCUCUGCAAGUUGAUGUUGUUGAGGAUGAUGUGAGUGCAAGGGAUUGUGUCACUGCAAGCAAACUUCAUGGCCUUUUGGCUUGUUGAUGUCCCGGUUAUAUUUCGAUACAUUAUUUGGGUUAUGUUGACUGCUGACGUCUGAUGACACAAGAAAUGAGGUUGUUAGGUCGUAUAGUGUGUGUGCACGUGUUGGUUAGAGGUAUCAAAAGAUCGGGGCAGUACAUUGUUACCUUAAAAGCCCGAUGGAUUGACAGUUCUAGUGGUGAAAGUGUACCUGGUUUUGGAAACUUUUUGGCGAGUCACAGUAGAAUUGGUCUAUGAUGAUCGGGUUGGUAACGUCUUCCAUUCUGACGUCUUGGUAGCGCACUGCACGCACAUAGCCGGAGCCUCCCUGCAACAGCAACAGGGCAUAUAUAGGCACUUCGGAUAGCAAAAAGUAUUAUUAUAAGGUCUUUUCAGUAAGGAAGGAUUGAUAAUGGUUCUCCAUUUCUCCCCAGCUUGAUGCUCAAGGGAAAAGUGUCUUACUAAACUGAUCUGCAUUUUGUUGUCAAAGGAAGUAUUAUAAGUUACCUGCCAAGUCUUGAUUCUGAGGCCAUUGGUCGUGCCUCGGAGGAAGGCCUUGUCCACGACAACGCUCUCAACAAUGCCGGUGGUGUUGUCCUUGCCAAGGCUUCCAAUGCUGGCGCAGUGCAGUUUCUAGUAAGCUAGUCCAUUGAAAAAUGGAUUUAAACUAUUUUGGAGAGUAUAUUACCUAAUUCCAUGGCCAGGUCCACAAAAGAUGUUCUUCAUCUUGAUGUUGGAGCUAGCAUUGACAAUUGAUAUGCAAUCAUCUCCUAUAAUCCACACAUGUUUGAAGUAAACACACAAUUCAAGAUUCAUGGGAGAAGUAAAUUUCUUGAAAAAGUGAGGAAAUCCAAGAACAUGUUCCAAUUUUGCAGUUUGGAAGAACUACAUUUGUUGAUUCAGUGAUAUGUAUCCCAUCUGUAUUGGGGCUGUCCUCUGGGGCAGAUACUUUGACAUCUAUGACACGAACAGAGUCCGAACGUCCGAUGACAAAAUUCAUCUGCUGCCCAUUCUGAACUGUGAUUCCCUUCACUCUCACAGCUGAGCUUGAGUCUAUUGUGAGGGCCUGAAAAUUGAGACAUUCCACGUCAUUAUUCGAUUCUAUGAUCAUACAUAGUAGGCGAGCUUAGUGGGCGAGUUAGCAUCACCGUUGGUGCACUCUUGCAAGGCUGAGGACAGAUAAUAGAGUCAGAAAUAAGAACAAGAAAUCAAUGUUGGUUAGUAGAUCAAAGUGAAUAAGUUGGUUGGGAUUAGGACAUGAUUGUUUGAAUCAAGAUGGAAUUUUUUUUACAUUGGACUUGUUUUUCUUGCAAGAAGCUGCCCACCAUUUAGUGCCUGAGCCAUCUAUGACACCUUUCCCUUGGAAAUAAACCUUGGUUAGAUUGUUGAAAACCAGCCAAGUUCUUGGAUUCUUGGGAUCCCAGCUAUUUGGAUCAUCUGGUGCAACGAUGGUCCCAUCGAUCUGCAAGCACGAGUCGUUGAAAGACUAACCUUCCCAAUACCGGGUUUUGAUCCAAGACAAAGACUAUACCUGGAUCACAAUCUUGUCUACACAAGGCCCUCGGAAUCUUUUUGCAUUCACCAAGUAGCGAUGCCCUUCAGGGACCAAGAAAACUGAUUUUGGAGUGGAACAAGCUUGUUUCCAUGCAUCGGUGAAGGCCUAAUAUGGACAGAAACAACAUGAGACCGAUCAAGAACUUGAAGCCAUAUUUUGUCUUAAAACUUGAUUGUAUGUAUAAGACCUGAGUAUCGUCAGCUGCACCAUCUCCAACAGCACCAAAUCCCUCCACAUUUAUAAGAUUUUUGUUGCUAUGGUGACUAUGCCAAGAUGGGAGAUCUAUGACCUCCAACGAGUCGUCUUGUCCUUCUUCAUCUCCCAUGUCCGUGUCGUGGAGCUUGGCAAAAAUCUCAAAUGUAUCGGAGAGAUCUUGGCCAGCACUUGAAAGGGGAACAAGAAGCAAAACAAGAAAGGAAAGGAACAUCAGUAACUUGGUCAUGGCUUUUUAAGGAUGUUUUUGUUUGUUUUUUUGGUGGAUAAAAUGACUUGAUUUGUAUAAGAGAUUGUGGGAUUAAUAUAUAAGUACGGAUUGAGUUUGUAAAGUGCAAUGGUUUUGUGGAGGGAAGGAUAUGUCUGGACUUGGCAUGAAUAUGUUGCAUUUUUCUUUAGAGUGAACUACAUAAAUAGUACCUGAUCUUUCACUUUUGCA